UUGUUAUUACUUCCUUGUCUUGACCCAGUAUAUCAAUCAUUUAGCGUGGGUCGGUUUUAUUUCCACAACCGCAAGUCGAUUUCAACAUCCUCAAUGUCGACACCUUUUCUAGAGAAGUUUUUAUUUCAUUUGCAUAGCAUGUCUGGAAUUUGGAUGUAAACGCGUUUUAAAUCGUCCGUUAAUCUGAAUAUCAAGAGGCUGCAGGUUGUUCGUACACGCAGUGGGGACGAACACCACUUGAAUUCCCUUUUCCUCCAGCAUAAUGCCCCUUCUAGACCGGCGUCCAAAUACAUGAGAAUGCAGCUUAGAUUAGAAGUUGGAUACUAUGAAAAAUAUGACGGAGAAAAGUGAGGAAAGUGGACCUGUGAGUGACAAUGGAAUUUGGACAAAGAAAGAUAAGAUCACGCUUCUCAUUGUCACGAUCAUGACAAUUAUUAACUCGUAUUUUAUAAUCAUGCACAAUUCACAGAAAAGACCAUGUGAAAAAGUCAUACCUGCUCGCGAGCACAAUAGACUGCAGUUGGAUAUACGAUGGCUUAAGGCAAUAGUUAAAAGGAAUGAAAACAAACAACACCUUGAAUCACGAUUGAAUAGUCAACGUUUCAACAACCAGCAAUUGAAGGGUGAUGAAGUCGAAAAACAACAACACAACAUUUCUCUAUUGCAGAGUCUUCUGGCGGCUAUCAUCGUAAUAAUUUUUUUGUUUCUGUGGCUGAAAUUCAAGGAUGACAACAAUAAGGGAACUUCGAGUACUUCCAACAACAUUUCAAGUACCUCACAGCGGGCUUCUCAUGCAAUGCAUCGACUUAGUAUAAUACCAAGAAGAAAAUCAGUCAUCGCUCGAUUUACAAGUACUUGGUCAUCUGUUGAUGAGAAUCUUGCCAAAUCCUUCCUAACUGGUCGUCAGAUUUCCCACAAGCUAAUAAGUGAGGAAAACGAUAUAUAUGACAUCAAUGCGAAGGUAAUCGAAAAUAACAAUGAUCACUGUAUGUUACAAUAUACCAAUGUACUGAGGGUACUAUAGUUAGGGCGAGUGAAGCUACAUAUACCUGCCUGUAUUAAGACCUGUAUUAAAGAUAAGGGAUUCCAUCCCAUAUAAUUUUCCAUGGGGUACAAUCUUAGGACUGACACAAAGAAUUUUACAACUGGAAGUAUUUCAGAAUGACAAGAUAAAUUGGAUGUCUCUCAAACUCUGGGAAGAACAUUCGGAUCGUCGGCCCUCUCUCUGUAUUCACCUGACAACGAAGAAAACAAUAUGUAGUGUGAUGUAAGAUUGAAUUAUAAGAAAAACCCGAAAUCUUUAUUUGAUAACAAGUAGGCGAUAUGCUGAAAUUCUAUGUGAUAAUCCUAAUGUUGUAUUAUUUAUAUAUUUUUGCAAAAAAAUAAUUUAGAACGAUAUCGCAUUGUUAAAAGAGUUUCAAGGAUUAAAAAUACCAGCGGUAACCUGUUGUAGGUGAAUGUAAAUCACGUUUGCUACAAAAGAUAACAAAUAGUCAUCAAUCUAAUGAGGAAUGCAAUAAUGAGAACGAGACAAAUACAGACCCCUAAACACCAGAGGUGGGAUCAUGCGCCUGGGAGGGAUGAACAUCACUAUUGACCGGUCACUUCCGUGGUCCUCAUCCCCCCUCUUUUUGUAUUCAAAAGUUAAGCAUUAAUCAAACAGGUCAUGGUCAUAAGAUAUGACGCAAACAGGUGCAUAUUUUCAUAGACAUAAAUAUGAUUUCACUGUUAGAAUUUUAAAAGUGGUUUCUCGAUGAAUUUACCCUACAGUCACCACUGGACACCGUCACUAUGUUUCGCAUUACCAUGUUUAUUAAGGAGUUUAAACUGAACACUCAUUGUGAGUCGAGAAAACGUGGGGGAGUCUAAUGUACUUAAAAAUCACCUCAAUCAGAUCUAACACUACAUUCUGAAACAUCGUGAUGUCACAUCAGAGUUUUGCCCAGGCAAUGGUAUACCGGUAUAUCUUUAUAUAUACUCAUGUCCAAUCAAUACCUUACAUAUUGCAAUGACAUGAAAUUGAGUUAAUCCUCGUAUGUUCAUAACCUCGGAUCUCAGGUAAACGAAUUGUAUCUUUGUGAGACCUAAAAGUAUAGUCGUUUGGAUUGUGAAAGUCUUUUUGACACAGACAAUUCAUUGGACAUACAUGUUGACUCGAAUUUCCUCUGUCCAAAUCUUCUAAUUAUAUCAUUUAAACUAUCAAUCAUAUAGUCAUUCAUCAAUUUUCAUAUACGACAACGUUGCAGGUAUCGAUCUAGAAACAAUGUAAGACAUAAAAGAUUGAUUGAUUGAAUAUUGUUUAACGUCCCUCUCGAGAAUAUUUCACUCACAUGGAAACGUCACCACUGCCGAUGAAGGGCUACAAAAUCUAGGCCUAUGCUCGGCGCUAAGGCCAUUGAGCAGGGAGGUAUUUUUAUCGUGUCACAGCAGGCGUGGCACGAUAAAGGGACCUCAGUUUUUGAGGUCUUAUCUGAAGAACCACUCCAUUUAGUCGCCUCUUACGACAAGCAAGGGGUUACUGAGCAUCUAUUCUGACCCGGAUUCCCACGGGAAAAAUAGUCCAUAUAACAACUCAACUUUAUGACAAACGAAAUGAUAUCAGCUUCUCCGUCGUCAACAUAUAUUUAUGUAGCAAUAUUCCAUUAUCACCUGAUAUGGUGGUUAUAUCACUCAACUGAAUCGAUGCACAAGAGCUUGUUCUGCGUAUGAUAGGUUUUUAGAUGGAUACGGGCUACUGAAAAACAAGUUGAUGUUACAGGAGUUUCAACAGUCAGCAUUUCGCAAAUUUUAUGGUCGAUCUAACGAUCUAGUUUGCAAAUACAACCUGUCAUUCGGUAAAAUGUUGGCUGUCGUAUUUCAUACCAAUUGUUCGGCCUGUCUCGGCACACUGAUCUGACUACAUAUUACUCCGUUUUCCUGAUCACAAUAUAGCGACCACAGGUGGGUGUGACCGGUCGACAGGGGAUGUUUACCUCUCCAAUAAAUCUGACCCCACCUCUGAUAUAUCCAAGGGUCCGUGUUUACCUAACUCUCUAUUCUGUAUUCCUUAUAGAAAUUAUGAGAUUGAUCACUGUUCGUUAUCUUCACUUUUUCCUAUAUCAUGCAAGAUCUUCCAGAUGCAUAAGUUCUAUAUGUAUUUUUGCAAGCUGAAAGAAAUUUAAUUUUCAUUGCUCAUGUCGUGGAGUAUAUUUGUCAUUUACUAUAUAUAGCUUGUUUUCCUAUUUGUGAAAUGCAACGAACGUCACAUUAUUAUGGAAGACGCCGACGAUAGAAGUCAGUUAAGAAAAAGGAUAGUCGAGGUUGUAGAAAGUACAGGAGGAAAAGCAGUGGUGAUUUACAUGUUACAUGGCGACUCCAGAGACCUCAAAGAUGGAUGCCUCUACUCAAAGAAAUUAACAUGUAUAAACUACCACCCGAUACUAAGGAAAUUAUCAAAGGAAGACUGUGUGAUCAGUACCGACAAAGAACUUUCAAAGUUUCAAAUACAUCAUCUGCAGAAGCUUUGUAAGGAAUAUUCUUAAUUCUGAUCCAUAGGCUGGCAAUGAUUAAAGAUGUCUCUUUUACUUUUGGACGGUCAUCAUACUCAAAAUGGUUAGCAUGCUUGUAAUGUUUUUAUAAAUAAUCAUUUUUACUCGUUUAUAUCUUAUAUAGCUUUCUAAGUGUUGCUCUAUCAAACAUGUGAUUAAUAAACAAGAUAUUCUAUU